ACUGAGGGGCACUAGGGUUCCGAUCGAUGGUUGACUGCCAAGCCAUCUUUGUCUGGUCCAAGAGUGCCCCGGCCUCGCAAGGGGCUCCACGGAGGGACAAAAGCCCGGGAGAG
rnacentral:sRNA from 1 species